ncrna:unclassified sequences IS605-orfB-I RNA
UCUGGAUAAACUUGUAUCCAUCCAAGAGAAUGGAACAAGUCACUUUACGGAAGUUAAAAUGAGUAAACCAUUUUAGGAUUGAUACAGACUUUUAUAAAGUGAAAUUCUGAAAUGUUGGGGUAACCGUAUGUCCUUUAACACUAUUUGUGUUAUAAAAAUAAUCUUGAAUAACUUUGAUUAAGUUUUUGAGUUACGGUGAG